GACAGAGCAAUUGCCUUCUAAGCAAUCGGUCACUGGUUCGAAUCCAGUACAACGCACCA
rnacentral:tRNA from 1 species